rnacentral:rRNA from 1 species
AGAACGAACGCUGGCGGCAGGCUUAACACAUGCAAGUCGAGCGCCUCGCAAGAGGAGCGGCAGACGGGUGAGUAACGCGUGGGAACGUGCCCAAAGGUACGGAACAACUCCGGGAAACUGGAGCUAAUACCGUAUGUGCCCGAAAGGGGAAAGAUUUAUCGCCUUUGGAUCGGCCCGCGUCUGAUUAGCUAGUUGGUAGGGUAACGGCCUACCAAGGCGACGAUCAGUAGCUGGUCUGAGAGGAUGACCAGCCACACUGGGACUGAGACACGGCCCAGACUCCUACGGGAGGCAGCAGUGGGGAAUAUUGGACAAUGGGCGCAAGCCUGAUCCAGCCAUGCCGCGUGAGUGAUGAAGGCCUUAGGGUUGUAAAGCUCUUUCGCCAGGGACGAUAAUGACGGUACCUGGAUAAGAAGCCCCGGCUAACUUCGUGCCAGCAGCCGC